rnacentral:rRNA from 1 species
AUUGAACGCUGGCGGCAUGCCUUACACAUGCAAGUCGAACGGCAGCACGGGUGCUUGCACCUGGUGGCGAGUGGCGAACGGGUGAGUAAUACAUCGGAACAUGUCCUGUAGUGGGGGAUAGCCCGGCGAAAGCCGGAUUAAUACCGCAUACGAUCUACGGAUGAAAGCGGGGGACCUUCGGGCCUCGCGCUAUAGGGUUGGCCGAUAGCUGAUUAGCUAGUUGGUGGGGUAAAGGCCUACCAAGGCGACGAUCAGUAGCUGGUCUGAGAGGACGACCAGCCACACUGGGACUGAGACACGGCCCAGACUCCUACGGGAGGCAGCAGUGGGGAAUUUUGGACAAUGGGCGAAAGCCUGAUCCGGCAAUGCCGCGUGUGUGAAGAAGGCCUUCGGGUUGUAAAGCACUUUUGUCCGGAAAGAAAUCCUUGGCUCUAAUACAGUCGGGGGAUGACGGUACCGGAAGAAUAAGCACCGGCUAACUACGUG